UUUCCCUAGGUGAACCUGCGGAAGGAUCAUUGUCGAAACCUGCCCAGCAGAACGACCCGCGAACUUGUAUAAACAACCGGGGGCGGGGGGCGUUCUCGCCCCGUGCCCCCGAACGGCGGGGAGACACUCGUGCCUUCUUGCCGAACAACGAACCCCGGCGCGGUCUGCGCCAAGGAACUUCAACUAAAGAGUGCCUCCGGUCGCCUCGGAAACGGCGUGCGUGCCGGGGGCGAAUCUUGUGCAAAACCAUAACGACUCUCGGCAACGGAUAUCUCGGCUCUC
rnacentral:misc_RNA from 1 species